AACGCGAAGAACCUUACCUGGGCUCGAAAUGCAGUGGACCGGGGUAGAAAUAUCCCUUCCCCUUAAAAGGCUGCUGCAUAGGUGCUGCAUGGCUGUCGUCAGCUCGUGUCGUGAGAUGUUGGGUUAAGUCCCGCAACGAGCGCAACCCUUAUCCCUAGUUGCCAUCGGGUCAAGCCGGGCACUCUAGUGAAACCGCCCCGGAUAACGGGGAGGAAGGUGGGGAUGACGUCAAGUCCUCAUGGCCUUUAUGUCCAGGGCUACACACGUGCUACAAUGGUCGGUACAAACCGUCGCAAACCCGCGAGGGGGAGCUAAUCGGAAAAAGCCGGCCUCAGUUCGGAUUGGAGUCUGCAACUCGACUCCAUGAAGCUGGAAUCGCUAGUAAUCGCGGAUCAGAACGCCGCGGUGAAUACGUUCCCGGGCCUUGUA
rnacentral:rRNA from 1 species